rnacentral:rRNA from 1 species
GACGUAGGGCGCGAGCGUUGUCCGGAUUUAUUGGGCGUAAAGAGCUCGUAGGCGGCUUGUCGCGUCGUCCGUGAAAACCUGGGGCUCAACCCCAGGCUUGCGGUCGAUACGGGCAGGCUAGAGUUCGGUAGGGGAGACUGGAAUUCCUGGUGUAGCGGUGAAAUGCGCAGAUAUCAGGAGGAACACCGGUGGCGAAGGCGGGUCUCUGGGCCGAUACUGACGCUGAGGGGCGAAAGCGUGGGGAGCAAACAGG